GGAAAGUUGAGCCCCUGGUGGGGCAGUCGCCCUUGAAAAGCGAUCCACUGGAAACGGUGACGGUUCGACUCCGUAAUUUUCCGC
rnacentral:tRNA from 1 species